GUGAGGAAUAUUGGUCAAUGGGCGGGAGCCUGAACCAGCCAAGUCGCGUGAAGGAAGAAGGAUCUAUGGUUCGCAAACUUCUUUUGCAGGGGAAUAAAGUGCGGAACGUGUCCUGUUUUGUAUGUACCCUGAGAAUAAGGAUCGGCUAACUCCGUGCCAGCAGCCGCGGUAAUACGGAGGAUCCGAGCGUUAUCCGGAUUUAUUGGGUUUAAAGGGUGCGUAGGUGGUUUGAUAAGUCAGCGGUGAAAGUUUGCAGCUUAACUGUAAAAAUGCCGUUGAAACUGUCGGACUUGAGUGUAAAUGAGGUAGGCGGAAUGCGUGGUGUAGCGGUGAAAUGCAUAGAUAUCACGCAGAACUCCGAUUGCGAAGGCAGCUUACUAAGCUACAACUGACACUGAAGCACGAAAGCGUGGGGAUCAAACAGGAUUAGAAACCCUAGUAGUCC
rnacentral:rRNA from 1 species